CCGAGUUGUCGCGAGACAAUCUCCCUUUCUUGUGGUUGACCAUGUUGCCUUGCCUCCGGGCAGGAUUAUUCUGAAUCAGUGUCGUCUGAGUUGUAUUUUUAAUAAAUCA
rnacentral:misc_RNA from 1 species